GACGAACGCUGGCGGCGUGCUUAACACAUGCAAGUCGAACGGAAAGGCCCUGCUUUUGUGGGGUGCUCGAGCGGCGAACGGGUGAGUAACACGUGAGUAACCUGCCCUUGACUUUGGGAUAACUUCAGGAAACUGGGGCUAAUACCGGAUAGGAGCUCCUGCUGCAUGGUGGGGAUUGGAAAGUUUCGGCGGUUGGGGAUGGACUCGCGGCUUAUCAGCUUGUUGGUGGGGUAGUGGCUUACCAAGGCUUUGACGGGUAGCCGGCCUGAGAGGGUGACCGGCCACAUUGGGACUGAGAUACGGCCCAGACUCCUACGGGAGGCAGCAGUGGGGAAUAUUGCACAAUGGGCGGAAGCCUGAUGCAGCAACGCCGCGUGCGGGAUGACGGCCUUCGGGUUGUAAACCGCUUUCGCCUGUGACGAAGCGUGAGUGACGGUAAUGGGUAAAGAAGCACCGGCUAACUACGUG
rnacentral:rRNA from 1 species